UGGACAUGGUGGAGAUCAGCUUUGUCCUA
rnacentral:sRNA from 1 species